CACGUAGGGGGCGAGCGUUGUCCGGAUUUAUUGGGCGUAAAGAGCUCGUAGGCGGUUAGACAAGUCGGGUGUGAAAGCUCGAGGCUCAACCUCGAGACGCCACUCGAUACUGUUUGACUGGAGUUCGGCAGGGGAGACUGGAAUUCCUGGUGUAGCGGUGAAAUGCGCAGAGUAUCAGGAGGAACACCGAGUGGCGAAGGC
rnacentral:rRNA from 1 species